CAAUUUAAGAUUAUUAUGCCCUAACCUGCUUGGUGUGUUUAGGGGAAAGAAGUUUGAUUUACUCUGGGCAGUAUACAGAGAAAAAAACAAGUUCUCAAGAGGUUCAGUAACAAACUUAUAUUUGCAAGCUUGAAAAGCAACAUCCAGACAAAGUAAGAUGGUUUACAAGCUUUAACUUAGCAAACCUAAACUCAGCCAACUUUAACUUAUCCAGACACAACAAGGCACUUGGAAAUGAUGGAAAAUGAGCCAAAAGCAUCGUGUGAGUCAAGAGGCAUGGAAUUGCUGCCAAGCAUCAAUUCCCACCAUGGCAGGAACGACUCCUGGGGUGGUGAAUUCCAAAGAAAUGGCUCUGUGGUGGCUGGCACCGGCUGCAGCAGGGAAGUCACGCAGAGACAGGAACAAGGCAGCAGUGACCCCAUGACUUCUGAGGAGCUACACCAGUUCAUACUAAGGAUCUCUCCUUUUUCUGUAUCGUAUAAAAAUAGCUCCCUUUGAGCCUUUGAGAUUUUUUUUUGCCUACUGGAAUUUUUGAGCAGAGAGAGGAAAAGCAGUUCUUUUCAGAACUGGGGAGUGGGCUGCUUUUACAGGAAGAUUUAAGGUAGGUUUUAAUUUUAUGUGGAGCCUCCCAUCCUUGAGGUACACUGUAGUGUUUUAUACGGUGAUGUGAUAAAUAUAGAAAGGUGACCUAGUAGGCAGAACAGAGCAACCACUCAAUCACUUCACACAUAUAACACUGGACAGUAAAUGAAGGGCUUCAGUAGCAGCAGGGCUGGGAUUCCUGACCUCUGGAAGCUCCCACUGGGGUGAUUUUAAGGAGUUACUGAUUUCUUUCCACUCUGCCCCUUAUCAGAGGGGACAGCUCACUGCUGGCACAGGCAAUGGAGAAAGGUAACUU
rnacentral:lncRNA from 1 species